UGAAUACUUGGGACGGGCAGUGUGGUGUGUGGGCGCCGCAUCUACGGGCAUCGACCACUUGCCCGGCCAACUGCAAGCAACCCUCUCUCGCUCCGCUAAGCUCGCUUUAUACCAAAACCGCCACCGAAGGAAAGUGUGCUCGCUUCCUCCUCUACGCUCCCGAUUCCUUGUGCGGCGUUCCUUCUUCUGGAUGCCAUUAGGAGAGGCGAAGUGAGCGAGCUCCCCGCAUCCGAAACCUUAAGCGAGCGGAUUAAGAAGAGGAGGGAGUAGAAGAAACCAAGGGAGCGGACCCGUCUGAUGGCGAGAGGUGCCGAAGCCGGCGAGACUUCGCGGCCGCCGCCCAACAUCCAGGCCCUACGGGUGCGGGCGAGGCCGGACCCCUUGCUGAUCGUCUGCCGCUGCUUCAGCUUCGUCACCGCUGUCGCCGCCGUCGCCUGUGUCUUCGUGAACGCCCUCUUCGCCGUCCGAUCCUUCAGAAACGGAUCUGAUAUCUUUGGCGGAAUAUUUCGAUGCUACGCGGUUGCCAUCUCCCUCUUCGUGGCUGUCGCUGAGACCGAAUGGGGUUUCAUCAUCAAAAUCUGGAGGAUAUUGGAGUACUGGGCAUGCAGGGGCAUGCUGCAGAUUUUUGUUGCUGUCAUGACAAGAGCUUUCCCGGUUGUCAGUGGAGAACCGAGGUACCUGGUGCUUCUUCAGGAGAUCUCCAGCUACUUGCUUCUUGCUUGUGGCUUAACCUAUGUGAUCUCGGGUGCAUCAUGCAUUGGUUUCUUGAAGCGAUCGCGCCAGCAUCAGGAAACAACAAGAGAGCAAGCAGCUAGAGAUCUAGAGGAACUGAUGCGGCGCAAGGAAGAACUUGAGGCGUUGCUAAUCGUGGAUAGGACCUGACAGCAUGAGGAUUCAUUGCCACGAGCAAAAAUCUUGAGGAGAUUUGGAUAGUCUUUCCGAUCCGAGGAUAGGACACUGGUAACGAGCUUCCCGUUUCCAUAGGAGACUUGCUCUACUUCCGGAGGAAGUCGGAAUAAGGUUGGUGUCAGGAUCACGAAGACCUUUGUUCGUGAGCAGCUCAGAAGACUCAAGGUUGGAAAGAGGCUUGGAACCUACGUGUUUGAGGUGAUUCCGACCUUAGUUUCUGGGCACGUCUAGAAAGAAUUAAGGUGAUGAUGACGACCACCUGAUUCCCCGAGGCCUUGUCAAAUCCAACGACAGCAGUUUGUAUAAGUUGUCCGUAGUCUUUAUUAUUUUUUGCUCCUUUUCCUUAAAUAUCGAGUGGUAAUUAGCGGUUGACGUGUUUGACAAGGAAGACUUGGGACUGUUGACCAACAGGCUCCCAAGAUUGUGAGCGGUGGUUCCCCGAUCCGAAAGAAGAUAUUGUCGGCCAAAUCAAUGCGCUUGCUUCGUGUUCCAGCCGCAUAACAGGCGAGUUCUCGGAGCACUGAGCACUUCACAUCUGGUCCGGCGACAAUCCUCGUCUUCUUAUGUCGUCGUCUCAUUUACAUGCCACGCCAAAAUUAAGCAAAAGAGAACCGAGGAGUCAAACGACCUCACCUGCAAAAUUCCACCUCUCUAUGUUACUUCGUUUGCCAUCUUCCUCGAAGCUAUCUCCGGCAGCGAUCGACGGGGCUCGGGUAGAGCUAACCAGCUGAAGAGGGCUCUGUGGAGAGAGAACCAGAAGGCGAAACGCUCUGCUGUGGAGGAGGACUGAUGCAUUGCUGCUGAAGCCGGACGCAUGAUGAGCCUCCCACCGCACCCGGUGGACUCGCCAUGGCUGAUGAAGAAGCAUUAGGCAGCUUUCCAGCGUGCAAUCGAUAUUUCUGAAAUAGCAGGAGCAGAACGUCGGAAAACGCCAUCUCACGACAAGGAUUAGGAAGCAGUAAGGUAAGUAAUCCACGAGGAGGAGGAGGAGGAAGAACUGGGAAGCCACCUGCAGAUGGCUUUUCACCUCAUCGUUCGUGAGCCCCUCCACCUUCAUCACUUCCCGUAUCUGCUUGGGAGUAGCCACUGCAUCAACGAACACGACAAUCGGAUCCAAGCCAAAGAAUAGUAGUGUAUUCGGGGAGUAAGUAGAACAUGAUGGAUCGACGACACCAGCAAAGAGAAAAAGGGGGACAAUUCUGCAAAAGCCACUCGCCUUGGGCACCGCCGAGCUGUUGGAUGGCGAGCGUGAACCGCCGAUGCAGCUCCUGCGACCAACACCUCCUCGCCUUCCUCGACGGCUGAUGCUGGGACUGGAAGCCGAGGCGGCCGCACACCGUCGCUGGAGCUGGAGACGACUCCGGUGCUCUGCCGACGCUUUUGGGGCCGCGACCGCAGCCACGGCGGUCGGUCAACGCGGCGGCAGGCUUCUUCUCCUCGGAGCUCGCAGAAACCGUCGACAGCGCUUCAAACGGUAAGAAAGCGCCGUCGCCGCCGGGGCUCUUGCAUUCCAAGAACAAGUUCUCCUUCCCCUGCCUGCGUCCCUCCUGCCGCUACCAGAAGUGGAAGAUCCAUUUAUCGGUCCAGAGCUGGGCGGAGCUCAUCCAGUUCAUCUUGUCGUCUACUUUUACCUCUCCAUCCUCCUCGACCCUACUCUCCACGGGUAACAACUCCUGGAGAACACGCCCGAAACACCCGCCGCGGCAUCGCUCCGUUUCCUUCUUCAAUCCGUCGAUCACUGCGACCGGAAUUCUCAGAACCGCAAGAAAACGAAUCCAAUGGAAAGAAAGGGAAAAGGAGGCAUCCAACGGACCCUCGCCGAGGAGAUGCAUGCAGAGAGGGAGCUCGCGCUGGAAAGCUUCGAUCUUGCGCUUCUCCUCCUCCAAGAUCUUGAUGGACUCCACCAGCCUAGCCGCCCUGCCGGCGCUCUCCGUCGCCGCAUCCUUCACGAAGCCGCCGACGGUCCGCAUGGCGCAGAGCUGCAACGCCAACCCCACCUCCGAGCCCAUCGCCGCUGGCUCUAUCAUCCCUCCCGUCGUCGUCGUCGUCUUUUUUUUUGAACGGAGGAGAAGAAAAGGGAGCGGAGAGGAAUCGUCCGGUUCGAGGGAAUCGUGGAAGAGGGGACAAAACGAACGGGAGGAUAUCCACGAGGUCGAGCUCGAGCGGUCGCGUAAGUCAUCCGAC